CUUCUACUACUCUCAUAAUUCUGUAAUUUAGGGAUGGCUGCAAGUGAAGGUGAAGAAUAUGUGUACAGAAUCAGCAGAGGUGAGGAGUGGCAAGAGUUGCAGAGCUCUGGUUCCACUUUUGGUGGAGAGCUUGACAAGAAUUCUGGCUUCAUUCAUCUCAGCAAACUCAAUCAGGUACAAUCAACAUUACAGAAUUUUUUCCUGAACACCAAGGUUGAUCUUUACCUGCUUCAAAUUGACCCCAAAAAGCUGGGCAAAGGAUUAGUCUAUGAAGUUGUUGAUGGUUCCAAUAGCUUCCCUCAUUUCUAUGGUCCAUCUCGAAGCUUCAGUCCUCUCUCUCUAGAUGCUGUUACGAAAGCAGAGAAGCUGUCUCUGUCAGCCAAUAUCACUGCUAAUGAUAAUCGAGCCAACUAGCAGGUUUCCUCAAACUUAAAUGAAGAGACUGGCUCACGCCAAGGCAGGCAAUCUUAUGAGAGAUCGUAGGCAAUCAUGUCUUUGAGAAGGCUUGUGGAAAAUUUGAGAUACCUGUAGUCAAGUCAUGAGCUUGCAAAUUUCUGCCGCAAUAAAUUUCUCAAAUCUCGUCAUCUGAAUGAAUUGGAGAGAUCAAUUGGAGGCAAUCAAAGCAGAAAGAUCCAUCAAGCGCAAAUGUUGAGAUCGUGAGGAGGAAUUUGGUAUUAGUGUGGAAGAGGAGAGUGCUCAGAGCAUUGCAACUGUUCAGGAUGCUGCGGAUCUUAUCGAGAAACUCAUCGAGAAGAACGAGGCUUAGAAGAAGUAAUGGGAAAACAAGAGUCAAGUAGUGUUUUCACAUCCUAGCCUGCUUUAGAUAAUUAUUUGGUUGGUAGACUGGUUAUGUAUGCAGUCAUUUUGUGUGAAAUUUGAACCUGAUAGUUGUUGAGUGGUUAAAUUAUGAAUGUAUGAAUUUGAGCUUGUGUGAUCAAGCUCCUUUCUUUCCUAUAUUUCUGAUGAAAUAGAGAAUGGCCUUACAAUA